rnacentral:lncRNA from 1 species
UCAAAUGUCACCUUGGUGUUAUUCCCACGUCGGAGAGGAGUUGGCUUUGGAUCACAAGAAGUCUCCCUUCUUGAAAGAAACAAACGAUCUAGCGUGCUUCCAUAACUUGGAAGCUCACCUGCAUUUGCUUGACGGGUAAGAACUUUUUUAAUAAUUUAAGUUUUAUUUAUCAGCUCACUAAUGUGAAGCUGCGGCUUUGUGCUAACUCCUUAGAUAUUUACUAAGAAUGUUGUUUAUAACUUGCUAAAAGCACAUAGGUUUACUUAUAAGUAGCCUACAUACUUAGAAUUGAUACUAGUUGAAGCAAUAUAUGAUCAAAUCAAGUAAAAGCACAUUUGUCUGCAUAAGGUACUAAACAGAUUGUACCUUAUUUACAAACUUUGACAUUGUUUAGAAAACCUUACGAACGUGUCCAUUAGACAAUUUGGAAGUGCAUAUAAAAUUCAAAUUGCUGCUAACAAUUCUGAACAUCUAACUUACUAAAAAAACAAAAAGAAAGAAAAUGGAAAAAACAAGACAACGCUACCACUGUACUGCCCUGUAACAACAAUCGUAGUUCAACUGAUUAAAUUUGUAAAUUUUUUACUGAAUAGGUACCAUGGGAAGGGUAGAAGAUUUUGGCUUUCCACCGGAAGGGACAUUGCGCUGGUAAACAAAACAUCUGACUUUUUGAAGGAUCAUUUCUUGGUUCCGCCUAACUGGUUGGGGACUCAGAACAGAGGGCUAAAUAGAAACCAUGUGGGAAACUGGGUGCUGCCUGAGCGCAAUGACAUUGAGGAACAUUUACCACCAGAAGAUGUACCCCAUCGCCUUCGGCAACUGGGUCUAGCUUAUGAGGACUAACAAAGGGUUUACAUAAUCCCUUCAGCUCAACUAUGAUAAUGGUUCAGGUCGUUUAGCGUAAUAGGAAAAUUGCAACUCUUUUGUACUGUACCUCUCUCUCCCUCUAUUUUCUCGUCAUUGUGGCUGCAGUAAAUAUUCAAGUAAUGCUGUAGGACUUUGUGAAUCUAAAAAACAAGGAUGUUCUUAUAAUUUCCUUUUUGUUUUUGACUAGGACAAUAAAUAAAUCCCUAAACCCUACUUUGACAAGUUUUUAUGAUAGUUCAGGUGUUUAUCAAAACUAAUACCACGAAUCGUCCUGUCGUAUACUAUGAAAUUGAACCAGAACAAAUUUUGAACAAAUUGCAACAGUUGUCUACUUGUCAGAUCUCAAACAAGACCACAGUGGUCAAAUGGCGACUGAAAUUAUUUAUAAACAAUUCACAUUUCCUUAAUUACAGCCAAUAAGUUCUUCAAAAAGAUCAUUUACCCAAUAUGACUGCCUCAGGAUACCAACACAAGAGAUCACAUCCAUGGACACGCCCUUUACAACUGCUCCCGGCAAAAUGCCCUUAUAUUCCUUCUUCUUUUUUACUUUUUUUUUUUUGGUGUGUAUUAUCCACAUUAAUCAGAUCAUAUACUGAUAUAAGAAUUGAAUUCUAGUACUGAUCAAAUACAAACUUUACUAUUUCCUCAACAACCAUGUUCAUUUAUUUUUGCAAUAUGUACGAGGAUCUGCUAUUCUUGCUUACUGAAAUCAAUUGAGCAUAAAAAAAAAAAAAAGGUAACAGCCAAUAAAAAUGGAGAAUUGCUCACCUUUAUAAAAUAUGAUUAACUGCUUUAGACUCCCAUCAUUAAGAUUGCAGACUCAUCAGCUUAAACCCAGAACAAACCAAAAAUCUCUGAAAGAUUCCCUCCUUUUCCCUGCCAUGCCCAUUCAUAUGGUAGAUGUCCUCCCAAAAUAGUAAAUUCCUUCCCACUGACAUUUCUUCAAAAAAAUUCCUUGCCUGUUUUCAAUCACUCCCUUUUGAACAAUACCCAAAAUCGUUG